rnacentral:rRNA from 1 species
UCUUGAUCGAUGUAGAGAUACAUAAUUCCCUUCGGGGACAAGGAGACAGGUGGUGCAUGGUUGUCGUCAGCUCGUGUCGUGAGAUGUUGGGUUAAGUCCCGCAACGAGCGCAACCCCUAUUGCCAGUUGCCAUCAUUUAGUUGGGCACUCAGGCGAGACUGCCGUUGAUAAAACGGAGGAAGGUGAGAGAGACGUCAAAUCAUCAUGCCCCUUAUAUCCUGGCUCGCGCGUCUUC